UUUCCGUAGGUGAACCUGCGGAAGGAUCAUUACCUAGAGUUGCGGGCUUUGCCUGCUAUCUCUUACCCAUGUCUUUUGAGUACCUUCGUUUCCUCGGCGGGUUCGCCCGCCGAUUGGACAAUUUAAACCAUUUGCAGUUGCAAUCAGCGUCUGAAAAAACUUAAUAGUUACAACUUUCAACAACGGAUCUCUUGGUUCUGGCAUCGAUGAAGAACGCAGCGAAAUGCGAUAAGUAGUGUGAAUUGCAGAAUUCAGUGAAUCAUCGAAUCUUUGAACGCACAUUGCGCCCCUUGGUAUUCCAUGGGGCAUGCCUGUUCGAGCGUCAUUUGUACCUUCAAGCUCUGCUUGGUGUUGGGUGUUUGUCUCGCCUCUGCGCGCAGACUCGCCUCAAAACAAUUGGCAGCCGGCGUAUUGAUUUCGGAGCGCAGUACAUCUCGCGCUUUGCACUCAUAACGACGACGUCCAAAAGUACAUUUUUACACUCUUGACCUCGGAUCAGGUAGGGAUACCCGCUGAACUUAA
rnacentral:rRNA from 1 species